rfam:Schistosoma rodhaini strain Burundi genome assembly, scaffold: SROB_scaffold0001360
GCACUAUUGAAGAGUCCCAUACUAGGACGAAACGGCCGUCUAGUGC